rnacentral:rRNA from 1 species
AUUGAACGCUGGCGGCAUGCCUUACACAUGCAAGUCGAACGGCAGCACGGGAGCAAUCCUGGUGGCGAGUGGCGAACGGGUGAGUAAUGUAUCGGAACGUACCUUUCAGUGGGGGAUAACGUAGCGAAAGUUACGCUAAUACCGCAUAUUCUGUGAGCAGGAAGGCAGGGGAUCGCAAGACCUUGCGCUGAUUGAGCGGCCGAUAUCAGAUUAGCUAGUUGGUGAGGUAAAGGCUCACCAAGGCGACGAUCUGUAGCGGGUCUGAGAGGAUGAUCCGCCACACUGGAACUGAGACACGGUCCAGACUCCUACGGGAGGCAGCAGUGGGGAAUUUUGGACAAUGGGCGCAAGCCUGAUCCAGCCAUGCCGCGUGAGUGAAGAAGGCCUCGGUUGUAAG